CGGGCGUUAAGUUGCAGGGUAUAGACCCGAAACCCGGUGAUCUAGCCAUGGGCAGGUUGAAGGUUGGGUAACACUAACUGGAGGACCGAACCGACUAAUGUUGAAAAAUUAGCGGAUGACCUGUGGCUGGGGGUGAAAGGCCAAUCAAACCGGGAGAUAGCUGGUUCUCCCCGAAAGCUAUUUAGGUAGCGCCUCGUGAAUUCAUCUCCGGGGGUAGAGCACUGUUUCGGCUAGGGGGCCAUCCCGGCUUACCAACCCGAUGCAAACUGCGAAUACCGGAGAAUGUUAUCACGGGAGACACACGGCGGGUGCUAACGUCCGUCGUGAAGAGGGAAACAACCCAGACCGCCAGCUAAGGUCCCAAAGUCAUGGUUAAGUGGGAAACGAUGUGGGAAGGCCCAGACAGCCAGGAUGUUGGCUUAGAAGCAGCCAUCAUUUAAAGAAAGCGUAAUAGCUCACUGGUCGAGUCGGCCUGCGCGGAAGAUGUAACGGGGCUAAACCAUGCACCGAAGCUGCGGCAGCGACACUGUG
rnacentral:rRNA from 3 species